AACGAACGCUGGCGGCAUGCCUAACACAUGCAAGUCGAACGAGACCUUCGGGUCUAGUGGCGCACGGGUGCGUAACGCGUGGGAACCUGCCCUUAGGUUCGGAAUAACUCCCCGAAAGGGGUGCUAAUACCGGAUAAUGUCUUCGGACCAAAGAUUUAUCGCCUUUGGAUGGGCCCGCGUUGGAUUAGCUAGUUGGUAGGGUAAAAGCCUACCAAGGCGACGAUCCAUAGCUGGUCUGAGAGGAUGAUCAGCCACACUGGGACUGAGACACGGCCCAGACUCCUACGGGAGGCAGCAGUGGGGAAUAUUGGACGAUGGGCGAAAGCCUGAUCCAGCAAUGCCGCGUGAGUGAUGAAGGCCUUAGGGUUGUAAAGCUCUUUUACCCGGGAUGAUAAUGACAGUACCGGGAGAAUAAGCUCCGACUAACUCCGUG
rnacentral:rRNA from 1 species